rnacentral:rRNA from 1 species
UACGAAGGGGGCUAGCGUUGCUCGGAAUCACUGGGCGUAAAGCGCACGUAGGCGGAUUGUUAAGUCAGGGGUGAAAUCCUGGAGCUCAACUCCAGAACUGCCUUUGAUACUGGCGAUCUCGAGUCCGGGAGAGGUGAGUGGAACUGCGAGUGUAGAGGUGAAAUUCGUAGAUAUUCGCAAGAACACCAGUGGCGAAGGCGGCUCACUGGCCCGGUACUGACG